rnacentral:rRNA from 1 species
UCUACGGGAGGCAGCAGUGAGGAAUAUUGGUCAAUGGGCGUAAGCCUGAACCAGCCAAGUCGCGUGAGGGAUGAAGGUUCUAUGGAUCGUAAACCUCUUUUAUAAGGGAAUAAAGUGUGGGACGUGUCCUAUUUUGUAUGUACCUUAUGAAUAAGGAUCGGCUAACUCCGUGCCAGCAGCCGCGGCAAUACGGGGGAUCCGAGCGUUAUCCGGCUUUAUUGGGGUUAAAGGGUGAGUAGGCGGCCGUUUAAGUCAGCGGUGAAAGUCUGUGGCUCAAACAUCGAGUUGCCGUUGAAACUGGGUGGCUUGAGUAUGUUUGAGGCAGGCGGAAUGCGUGGUGUAGCGGUGAAAUGCUUAGAUAUCACGCAGAACCCCGAUUGCGAAGGCAGCCUGCCAAGCCAUGACUGACGCUGAUGCACGAAAGCGUGGGGAUCAAACAGGAUUAGAUACCCGAGUAGUC